rnacentral:rRNA from 1 species
GAUCAACGCUGGCGGCGUGCUUAACACAUGCAAGUCGAACGAAGUUUUUCCUUCGGGAGAAACUUAGUGGCGGACGGGUGAGUAACGCGUGGGUAACCUGCCCUGUACAGGGGGACAACAGCUGGAAACGGCUGCUAAUACCGCAUAAGCACUUAGCACUGCAUGGUGCAUAGGGAAAAGGAGCAAUCCGGUACAGGAUGGACCCGCGUCUGAUUAGCCAGUUGGCAGGGUAACGGCCUACCAAAGCGACGAUCAGUAGCCGAUCUGAGAGGAUGUACGGCCACAUUGGGACUGAGACACGGCCCAGACUCCUACGGGAGGCAGCAGUGGGGAAUAUUGCACAAUGGAGGAAACUCUGAUGCAGCGACGCCGCGUGAGUGAAGAAGUAUUUCGGUAUGUAAAGCUCUUCCAGCAGGGAAGAAAAUGACGGUACCUGACUAAGAAGCACCGGCUAAAUACGUG